CUAUCGUGGGGUCUUGUAACA
rnacentral:siRNA from 1 species